rnacentral:rRNA from 1 species
UACGUAGGGUGCAAGCGUUGUCCGGAAUUAUUGGGCGUAAAGAGCUCGUAGGCGGUUCGUCGCGUCGGCUGUGAAAACCUGAGGCUCAACCUCAGGCCUGCAGUCGAUACGGGCGGACUUGAGUACUGCAGGGGAGACUGGAAUUCCUGGUGUAGCGGUGAAAUGCGCAGAUAUCAGGAGGAACACCGGUGGCGAAGGCGGCGACCUGGACGGACACUGACGCUGAGACGCGAAAGCGUGGGGAGCAAACAGG